rnacentral:misc_RNA from 1 species
GAUGAAGAACGUAGCGAAAUGCGAUAAGUAAUGUGAAUUGCAGAAUUCAGUGAAUCAUCGAAUCUUUGAACGCACCUUGCGCCCUUUGGACAUUCCGAAGGGCAUGCCUGUUUGAGUAUCAUGAACACCUCAACUCUCACGGCUUGUCCGUGAUGAGCUUGGACUUUGGGGGUCUUGCCGGCCUGUGGUCGGCUCCUCUCAAAUGGAUCAGCUUGCCAGUGUUUGGUGGCAUCACAGGUGUGAUAACUAUCUGCGCUUGUGGUUUUCCAUCAGAUAACCUUCAGUGAUAUGGAGGUUCGCUGGAGCUCACAAAUGUCUCUCCUUAGUGAGGACAGCUCUUUGAACGUUUGAUCUCAAAUCAGGUAGGACUACCCGCUGAACUUAAGCAUAUCAAUAAGCGGAGA